ACGCUGAAGGAGGAGCUUGCUCUUCUGGAUGAGUUGCGAACGGGUGAGUAACGCGUAGGUAACCUGCCUGGUAGCGGGGGAUAACUAUUGGAAACGAUAGCUAAUACCGCAUAANAGUAGAUGUUGCAUGACAUUUGCUUAAAAGGUGCAAUUGCAUCACUACCAGAUGGACCUGCGUUGUAUUAGCUAGUUGGUGAGGUAACGGCUCACCAAGGCGACGAUACAUAGCCGACCUGAGAGGGUGAUCGGCCACACUGGGACUGAGACACGGCCCAGACUCCUACGGGAGGCAGCAGUAGGGAAUCUUCGGCAAUGGACGGAAGUCUGACCGAGCAACGCCGCGUGAGUGAAGAAGGUUMMMNUUCGGAUCGUAAAGCUCUGUUGUAAGAAGANGAACGAGAGUGAC
rnacentral:rRNA from 1 species